AAACAACUUUCAGCAACGGAUAUCUUGGCUCUUGCAACGAUGAAGAACGCAGCGAAAUGCGAUACGUAGUGUGAAUUGCAGAAUUCCGCGAAUCAUCGAGUCUUUGAACGCAAGUUGCGCCCGAGGCUUGUCCGAGGGCAUUUCCGCUAGAGCGUCACC
rnacentral:rRNA from 1 species